GCCUUCUGAUUGGUUUAGAAACGCAAAAAAAAAAUGAAAUAGUAGACAUGUUGCUAGCUAUGUUAUUAUUUACUUUUCCUCUCCUUAGGCAAAAACUAGAUUCACGCUUUCAGAUUUCAACUGGUGAGUGCUAAAAUAUGUAUAAACCUUAAUCAUUGUUAAUCGUCUUUGUUAUCAUCGAAUCUAUAGUUCUGGUAUGAAUUUUUUGGUUGUCCUGCUCUGUUUUUACUUUGUU